rnacentral:rRNA from 1 species
CGGCGUGCUUAACACAUGCAAGUCGAACGAGACGAUUUAGAAGCUUGCUUUUAUUGAGUCGAGUGGCAAACGGGUGAGUAACGCGUAGACAACCUGCCGCAAAGAUGGGGACAACAGUCCGAAAGGACUGCUAAUACCGAAUGUUGUGUCUCCUCCGCAUGGAAGAGAUAUUAAAGAUGGCCUCUACUUGUAAGCUAUCGCUUUGCGAUGGGUCUGCGUCUGAUUAGCUAGUUGGUGGGGCAACGGCCUACCAAGGCGACGAUCAGUAGCCGGUCUGAGAGGAUGAACGGCCACAUUGGAACUGAGACACGGUCCAGACUCCUACGGGAGGCAGCAGUAGGGAAUCUUCCGCAAUGGGCGAAAGCCUGACGGAGCAACGCCGCGUGAGUGAAGAAGGUCUUCGGAUCGUAAAGCUCUGUUGUCGGGGACGAAUGUUGAGGCUUAGAAUAUAGGUUUCAAAUGACGGUACCUGACGAGGAAGCCACGGCUAACUACGUG